CACUCGAAGGCGGAGGGGGGCAACCCUCUCGUCUACAGGUGUGAACCCCAAUGUACAGGCACUGAGCCGGGGGGCAAUGAGUAUGCCCACACCUGCUCUGCGCCUCUCACCGUGGGCAACACCUGAGUUGAAGAGAAUCCAACCCCUCUCGAGAGAACUGGUACCAAAAUCCAGGCUGUGUGUGGAGGUAAGUCCGACUAUAUCCAGUCUGAACUUUUCUACCUCGCACACCAGCUCGGGCUCCUUCCCUGCAAGAGAGGUGACAUUCCAUGUCCCAAGAGCUAGCUUCUGCAGCCGAGGAUCGGACCGCCAGGGUCCCCGCCUUUGGCUGCCGCCCAGCUCACAUUGCACCCGACCCCUUUGGCCCCUCUCAUGGGUGGUGAGCCCAUGGGAAGGGGGACCCACGUUGCCUCUUCGUGCUGUGCCCGGCCGGGCCCCAUGGGUGUAGGCCCGGCCACCAGGCGCUUGCCAACGAGCCCCACCUCCAGGCCUGGCUCCAGAGGGGGGCCCCGAUGACCCGCGUCCGGGCAAGGGAAACCUAGAUCCAUUUAUUGCCAUCAUCAUUGGGGUCUUUGAGCCGUGCUUUGUCUGGCCCCUCACCUAGAACCUGUUUGCGAUGGGUGACCCUGCCAGGGGCAUAAAGCCCCAGACAACUUAGCUUCUAGGAUCAUUGGGACACACAAACCCCUCCACCACGGUAAGGUGACGACUCACUAAUACUAUUCUGAGCAGUCUCAUUAAUUUAGAGGGUGCGUUCUAUCCUUUAACAUAGUUAUUAAUGUGGAUGUCCUCCCUGAGUUUAACAUUACGAUGGUGAGAAGACAGUAAAUGUAAUUGACUGUCAGGAUGUCCUUGAUUCUUCCUGAUGGUGUGAAGCUGAUGGAGUGAAGGGGGCUAAUAUGUGUGGCAGGCCUACUAGUGUCACGUUAGGCACGAAGCAGGAAAAAGGAACCGCUUUGUACGUAACGGAGAAAACGAAAACAAGCGGCUCCCCGAAAUGGCAGACACCGACAAGGACUUUGUAAAACAAUAUUUAUUAUAAACAAAAAUGCCGCCUAAUAAACAACAGAAAACGCUGGUCACAGAACGAUAGCCAGGAAAUAAGGAACGCGACAACAGAAAGAGCUGGUAAAAACGAGCACCAGGAAAUAAGGAAAUGCGACAACAGAAAACGCUUGCAAAACAACGGCAAGGAAAAUAUGUUAAACGAGUACUGAUUCACGUACGCUAAGAUAAUGCUUCCCGUGGGACGACGAUAAUAUAACCAACCGUGAA